rnacentral:lncRNA from 1 species
GAUCCUUCUUCACAGAUCUCUCGGUUCGAUAAAUUAAAAUAAGAGGAUCAAAGCAUUUCUUCUGACUCUUUUUCAAAUUUGAGAAACGUUGAUUGAUCAUUUGUUUCCUUAUAGGUAUACGAUUUAUAAUAUCAUUUUCAUACCUUUGAAUUACAUAUUCUAAGUUGCGAUUGAAUCGAUUAUCUUGAAAAUAAUUCCCACAAGAGGUCUGGACCCAUUUUUUUAGGAUCCUUGGAGAAACAAAUUCAUUCGCCUCGUAAAAAACCCGAGGCAGAACCAAUAAAGAUUUCUUUUUUGAUUCAUCCCUGGAGUUGAAUACCUCAUUUACGAAUUGUUUAUCAUCACAUCUAGAAAAAUCAAUAGAAAAAGAGAAUCCAUUACGACACACCAGAUCCGGCUUAGUUAUUGAGAGAUUGAAUAGAUUUGCCAUUUCUUGAAAUCUCUCUUCUGAAACUAGAUUUUGGUUCAAGAAUAAAAUAUGAUUUUGAACUGUAAAAAGUUUAUCUGACUCUUUUUCAAAUUUGAGAAACGUUGAUUGAUCAUUUGUUUCCUUAUAGGUAUACGAUUCAUAAUAUCAUUUUCAUACCUUUGAAUUACAUAUUCUAAGUUGCGAUUGAAUCGAUUAUCUUGGAAAUAAUUCCCACAAGAGGUCUGGACCCAUUUUUUUAGGAUCCUUGGAGAAACAAAUUCAUUCGCUUCGUAAAAAACCCGAGGCAGAACCAAUAAAGAUUUCUUUUUUGAUUCAUCCCUGGAGUUGAAUCCCUCAUUUACGAAUUGUUUAUCAUCACAUCUAGAAAAAUCAAUAGAAAAAGAGAAUCCAUUACGAUACACCAGAUCCGGCUUAGUUAU